rnacentral:sRNA from 3 species
AUGUACCACUCGUACACUGCGGUUCCGAGCGCGGCGUGCACACCCGUCUGACGACCGCUCGCUAUGGUUUUGUUAGCC